rnacentral:pre_miRNA from 1 species
UGUGUAUGUGUGAGCAGGCAUCUUCUCAGCCUACAUGUGGAUUCUUAAAUCUGCAGGCUGGUUAGAUGGUUGUCAUACAUUCACCUGA